rnacentral:rRNA from 1 species
CCUACGUGGAGCAGCAGUGGGGAAUAUUGCGCAAUGGGCGAAAGCCUGACGCAGCGACGCCGCGUGAGGGAUGAAGGUCUUCGGAUCGUAAACCUCUGUCAGCAGGGAAGAACGGUCACUGUGCUAAUCAGCAGUGAAUUGACGGUACCUGCAAAGGAAGCACCGGCUAACUCCGUGCCAGCAGCCGCGGUAAUACGGAGGGUGCGAGCGUUAAUCGGAAUUACUGGGCGUAAAGCGCUCGUAGGCGGUAUGUCAAGUCAAGGGUGAAAUCCCCGCGCUCAACGUGGGAACUGCCUUUGAAACUGGCAAACUGGAGUGUGUGAGAGGAUAAUGGAAUUCCAGGUGUAGGAGUGAAAUCCGUAGAUAUCUGGAGGAACAUCAGUGGCGAAGGCGACUAUCUGGCACAUAACUGACGCUGAGGAGCGAAAGCGUGGGUAGCAAACAGGAUUAGAUACCCCUGUAGUC